rfam:Epilithonimonas sp. FH1 contig06, whole genome shotgun sequence.
CCGCAAUAGGGAUAGUAGUGGAAAUCCUUUUUUGUAGUUGGGAAAUGUUCUAAUUAGAUUGGGAAACUUCUUCCACAAAAAAGAUUGUAGCGGAUAGCCCGACCCGAG